GGCUUAGCAACAAUACACACAUCCUUAUACAUUGAUAGUCUCUGGUGGCUAGUUUUGCUACAAUGCUCCCCCAGAACCAAGCUGGCAUACACAGUCUGAUCCCAACGGAUCAGCUUGGGGAUGUCCGGAGGAGUACCCACAGAUCACUUCUCAAGUUCAGUUUGUCUGGAUAACCCGUCUGCGUUGACAUUUAGCUUUCCC